rnacentral:rRNA from 1 species
UUAUGUGAACCGUACCUAUCGUUGCUUCGGCGGGAACGCCCCGGCGCCCUGCGCCCGGAUCCAGGCGCCCGCCGGAGACCCCAAACUCUUGUGUUUUUUUCAGUAUUCUCUGAGUGGCAAACGCAAAAAUAAAUCAAAACUUUUAACAACGGAUCUCUUGGCUCUGGCAUCGAUGAAGAACGCAGCGAAAUGCGAUAAGUAAUGUGAAUUGCAGAAUUCAGUGAAUCAUCGAAUCUUUGAACGCACAUUGCGCCCGUUAGCAUUCUAGCGGGCAUGCCUGUCCGAGCGUCAUUUCAACCCUCAGGGUCCCCGUUCCGGCGGGGAACCUGGUGUUGGGGAUCGGCCCGCCCCGUGCGGCGCCGUCCCCCAAAUUCAGUGGCGGUCUCGCUGCAGCCUCCCCUGCGUAGUAGUUACAACCUCGCAUCGGAGCUCAGCGCGGCCACGCCGUAAAACCCCCGACUUUCUGAACGUUGACCUCGGAUCAGGUAGGAAUACCCGCUGAACUUAAGCAUAUCAAUAAGCGGAGGA